rnacentral:rRNA from 1 species
UACGGAGGGUGCAAGCGUUAUCCGGAUUCACUGGGUUUAAAGGGUGCGUAGGUGGGCCGGUAAGUCAGUGGUGAAAUCUCCGAGCUUAACUCGGAAACUGCCGUUGAUACUAUUUGUCUUGAAUAUUGUGGAGGUAAGCGGAAUAUGUCAUGUAGCGGUGAAAUGCUUAGAUAUGACAUAGAACACCAAUUGCGAAGGCAGCUUACUACACAACGAUUGACGCUGAGGCACGAAAGCGUGGGGAUCAAACAGG